AGCGAACGCUGGCGGCAGGCCUAACACAUGCAAGUCGAACGAACCCUUCGGGGUUAGUGGCGGACGGGUGAGUAACACGUGGGAACGUGCCUUUAGGCUCGGAAUAACUCAGGGAAACUUGUGCUAAUACCGAAUGUGCCCUUCGGGGGAAAGAUUUAUCGCCUUUAGAGCGGCCCGCGUCUGAUUAGCUAGUUGGUGAGGUAAUGGCCCACCAAGGCUACGAUCAGUAGCUGGUCUGAGAGGAUGACCAGCCACAUUGGGACUGAGACACGGCCCAGACUCCUACGGGAGGCAGCAGUGGGGAAUCUUGCGCAAUGGGCGAAAGCCUGACGCAGCCAUGCCGCGUGGAUGAUGAAGGUCUUAGGAUUGUAAAAUCCUUUCACCGGUGAAGAUAAUGACUGUAGCCGGAGAAGAAGCCCCGGCUAACUUCGUGCCAGCCGCCGCCGUAAAAC
rnacentral:rRNA from 1 species